rnacentral:rRNA from 1 species
UACGUAGGGGUCGAGCGUUGUCCGGAGUUACUGGGCGUAAAGCGUGUGCAGGCGGCUCAUUGCGCCCGGCGUGAAAGCCCCCGGCUCAACCGGGGAGAGUCGUCGGGGACGGGUGAGCUUGAGGGUAUCAGGGGCUGGUGGAAUUCCCGGUGUAGAGGUGAAAUUCGUAGAUAUCGGGAGGAACACCAGUGGCGAAGGCGGCUCUCUGGACAGGUACUGACGCUGAGACGCGAAAGCGUGGGUAGCAAACAGG